GACGAACGCUGGCGGCGUGCUUAACACAUGCAAGUCGAACGGAAAGGCCCUGCUUUUGUGGGGUGCUCGAGUGGCGAACGGGUGAGUAACACGUGAGUAACCUGCCCUUGACUUUGGGAUAACUUCAGGAAACUGGGGCUAAUACCGGAUAGGAGCUCCUGCUGCAUGGUGGGGGUUGGAAAGUUUCGGCGGUUGGGGAUGGACUCGCGGCUUAUCAGCUUGUUGGUGGGGUAGUGGCUUACCAAGGCUUUGACGGGUAGCCGGCCUGAGAGGGUGACCGGCCACGUUAGGAUUGGGAUGAGGCCCGGACUACACCGGGACGGAGCGGUGGGGAAGAUUGCACUAUGGGCGGAAGCCUGGUGCAGCAAAGCCGCGUGGGGGAUGACGGCCUUCGGGUAGUAUUCCGAUUUCGCCUGUGACGAAGCGUGAGUGACGGUAAUGGGUAAAGAAGCACCGGCUAACUACGUG
rnacentral:rRNA from 1 species